CGUAGGGACCGAGUCGUUGUCCGGAUUCAUUGGGCGUAAAGAGCUCGUAGGCGGCCACUCAAGUCGAAUGUGAAACCUCGAGGCUUAACCUCGAGCCUGCAUUCGAUACUGGGCGGCUAGAGUCUGGUAGGGGGAUCUGGAAUUCCUGGUGUAGCGGUGGAAUGCGCAGAUAUCAGGAGGAACACCGGUGGCGAAGGCGGGAUCCUGGGCCAGUACUGACGCUGAGGAGCGAAAGCGUGGGGAGCAAACAGGAUUAGAUACCCUGGUAGUCCACGCCGUAAACGAUGGGCGCUAGGUGUGGGAGGUCAUCGACUCCUUCCGUGCCGCAGCUAACGCAUUAAGCGCCCCGCCUGGGGAGUACGGCCGCAAGGCUA
rnacentral:rRNA from 1 species